rnacentral:rRNA from 1 species
UACAGAGGUCUCAAGCGUUGUUCGGAUUCAUUGGGCGUAAAGGGUGCGUAGGUGGCGUCGUAAGUCGGGUGUGAAAUUUCGGAGCUUAACUCCGAAACUGCAUUCGAUACUGCGGUGCUUGAGGACUGGAGAGGAGACUGGAAUUUACGGUGUAGCAGUGAAAUGCGUAGAGAUCGUAAGGAAGACCAGUGGCGAAGGCGGGUCUCUGGACAGUUCCUGACACUGGGGCACGAAGGCCAGGGGAGCAAACGGG